rnacentral:rRNA from 1 species
AUUGAACGCUGGCGGCAUGCCUUACACAUGCAAGUCGAACGGCAGCACGGGAGCAAUCCUGGUGGCGAGUGGCGAACGGGUGAGUAAUAUAUCGGAACGUGCCCAGUAGUGGGGGAUAACUGCUCGAAAGAGCAGCUAAUACCGCAUACGACCUGAGGGUGAAAGGGGGGGAUCGCAAGACCUCUCGCUAUUGGAGCGGCCGAUAUCAGAUUAGCUAGUUGGCGGGGUAAAGGCCUACCAAGGCAACGAUCUGUAGUUGGUCUGAGAGGACGACCAGCCACACUGGACUCAGACACCGCCAAGACGCCUACGGGAGGCAGCAGUGGGGAAUUUUGGACAAUGGGCGCAAGCCUGAUCCAGCAAUGCCGCGUGCAGGAAGAAGGCCUUCGGGUUGUAAACUGCUUUUGUCAGGGAAGAAAUCCUCUAGGUUAAUACCCUUGGGGGGAUGACGGUACCUGAAGAAUAAGCAUCGGCUAACUCCGUGCCAGCCGCCGCGGUAAAAC